ACAGUUUCCCCAGGAUGCCCCUCUCUACAGGGAAACUAGGAGGGUUCCCACUAUGCAAUGCUCAGAGAGGCCUGAGUGGGGCUCAGGCUUGGCUUACCAAACGCUGACCCUUAACCUCUGACCUUGACACCCGCUUUUCCUGCACUUUCCUCUUGACGGGCACUCCUGGGUCAGUACAGCUAAGAAGCCAGAGCACCCGGAGAAAGACUGAUGAACAGACGCCUCCACCGAGCAGCGGCCCGGCCCGGGUAACCUUCUCUACCUGGUUCGAGCUCUGGUAGCAGAAGGAAAAUCUCACAAGCCACCCAGCGAAGCCAAAAGGAGAAUCAGAGGAGUCUGCAAGGAUUGAGCCUCAGUGGGCCAGUUCUGCUGGUUUUGACAAAUGCAGACGACUGUGCCCCUGGUUCCCCAGGACGAUACAGAACAGUCUCAUCACCCUAAAGAUGGGCCUGAGCUUCUCCUUCAUAGUCAACCAUGCCCCCUCCACCAACUCAG